CUACCACCAGGCGGCGCUAGAGCACGUAAAAAGCGAGCAGUUAUUUCACAAGUGUAAUGUCAUGAUAAUGAUGUGAUGGUUUUCCGGAGAGACCAGUAUAAGCGUCUUGGUCCUGACUGAUAUACACUAUAUUCUCAACUGUCUUUCAGUCGUGUUAGUGAAGAGGCAUGCCACAAAGGUCGGUUUGGGUGACAUUUGAUACCCUCCACAACGCCAUUGGACGAAGGGGCGACUGGGGGGCACUGUCCUGGGCACGCCACCCCUCCCACUCCUCCCACCGACCACCUACCACCAUUUUUUGCUGGCACUCAAAAAAGGAGAUGCAAGGAGGCAAGCGUUAAGGACUGAAUGGACUGAAUGCUUCAUCUCCAUCACUGGACGUACUCAGGCUCUUCAUCCUCUCGGCCGCCUCCAUCCUCCUCCUCUCUAUCUCCUCCUUCAUACGCCUCUUCUCCUCCUUGGAACAAAAAUCAGCUCCUCCAGCUCGUGCUCUGCCUCAGCCUGCCUAUGCCUCAGCUGCUCCAGCUCCUGGCUCUCCUUCUCCUGUAGACCACGCCGGAUCUUCUCCAAGCGCCGCUCCGUCUCCAGGAUGGCCUCACUCUCCUCCGGCUCAGCAGCACGACUACAGGCACAACAGAAAGAGGAGGAAAGUACUGUAUGAUGAGCUGCCUAAAAGGAAUCCACCUCCUGCAUUCCCCACAUGAUUAAGACAUGGCCAUCCUAGUGCAUCAUGGGAGCCCCUUUUUUAGAGCAGCUCUGUUUGAGUUUUAGAGUGCCAGCGCAGUGAUCUGUAAAGUGCACC